UCAGCCAGGGAAAGCAUGAAGAUAACAUCGUUACAUUUACGAGUUAACCUGAAGAGUUUAACCUAGAGCACCACUCAGCCGGGAUGGACUUGGGGUCUCCUGACAUACGCAGAGUGGGGACACAGUAUGCUGCCAAAGCUUAACUCCUGCACUGAUCCCUUACCAACGCCACAACAGAGUUCAUUCACUGUAACACCGCCUGAAAGAUGAGAAGCAAUAGCAGUUAUUAUAUUCAAAAUUUAUGCCAAGGGUCCGGCCAGGCCAGGUGGGUGCUGGUGACUCUGCGACGAAGAAAAUUUGGGUCAUGAGGUGCAAAGUAACGUCGGUGAUUU